UAAAUAGGCAAAUAGAUCUACACGGACACAAUAAUUUAGCUUGUUUGGUCUUUGGCAUUUUCUACAAGACCCCAAGAGAUGGACUUUCCUCUCCCCUUCCUUCUUUCAGAACUGGCAUCCUUCAUCUCUGUCUUUGCAGGCCCAAUUAUACAGAUCCACGGGGCUUCAAUAGGGUCUGAGUCAUUGGAACCAGGAACACCUGACUGAAACAUUCCACAUAAUUAGAUUUUCUUUUUCUUUACCUUUUCUUUCUUUUUUUUUUUUUUUUUUUUUAAAUAAGAGGUCUAGAAUUAGCCUUUUCGACUGGGGCGGAGUAGCUGGGGUGGGGGAAAGGAACACCUUCAUACAACUUCCAGCUUUCAGCCCCUUGGAGAGAUCUCCAAGUUCCCCCGAGCCGCCGGGACUUCCUUUCCUCGAUCUCUCGGCCGCCUCCUCCUCCUUCUCCGAUCGUGUUUUUUUUUUUUUUUUUUUUUUUUCUCCCUCCCGUCACUGUCUUCUCUGCGGUUUAAUUAAAGUUCAGCGACUCCACUUGCCUCUCCUCUCAUUUCUUUCGGAAAGCGGAAACCAGACGACCCAGCGGCCACGGGCCGAGCCGCCCCAACUCAACCCCAGCAGGACGCUGGAGGGGCCUCCCUCGCCUGCCUCCCUUCGCCGGCGCUGGCCUCCCGCACCCGGGUCUGCAGUCCCUCCGCCAUCUCGCAGGAGCGCAGAGAUGCCCGGGAGGACGGGGCCCCGGACGGAAGCAGAAAAACACUUAUGGCCGCCGGGGAGUGGGGUGAGCCAGGCUGGGGCUCCGGCAGGCCCAGGUCCCUUUCUAGGCUCUUUAUUUAAAAAUUUAAAAGGAGGAGUUGAGGCGCCUUGAAUUUUCCUUCGCGAGCUUGGAGACUAGCCGAUUUUUCAUGAAGGAAGCAAAGACUUCGGUCCCGGAUCCUGCAACAUCUGCCUCAUUCUCUCCAGGCCUCUCCACUUGCCCGAGCUUUCAGCCACCAGGAGACUGACAGAAGGGGCUUCUGGGCUGCUUUGGGAGCGGGCACUGUCCCCCACCCACUCCUGUUCUGUUUCCCAAAGUCCAGCGACCUCCGACCCUCCUUGGGGGGAAAAAUACCAGUACCCAGAUACCUCUGCACCCUGUUAUAUGACUGGGCUUGCUUCAGGAAUAUCUUACAAAGAAGAAGAAGAAGAAAGAACGGCUUGGAGUCAUGUUUACAUCUAGUUCUACUGAUACGUUCACAUCUGGAGAGUUUAUUUAUAACUCCCUCUAUAACUCUCUGUUUGGAGGCACUGGUGGCUCUAUUGACAGACUGAUGUCUAGGAAAUAUUGCUCUAUGUCUAACCGUACCUAAAUGUGCUGUGGUUGUAUUUACAGAUUUAUGUUUGAGGGAAAUAUAAUUUUUCCAUUGUAUUUGUGCAUAUACAGUAGUUAUAACAGCAGAUUUAUAUAUGGGAAAAUAUACGACUCUCUUACAGCCAUCCGGCUUUAUGUACAUUUGAUAUCCUGACAGAUUUAUAUCUCUGAACAGCUAUAUAGAUAAAAAUGUAUAUUGUCAGAAUUAUGUAUCAAGAGAUAUAUACUUAUUGAUUGUGAAAUAGAGUAGUUAGAGCAUUCACUUAGAGCCAUAUAUGGCUAUGGAGACGUUUCUAUAUUAUUAUCGCUAUAUAUAGGCAUAUCUGUUUAUAACUACAGUUAUAAAAAUAGACAUAAAUAAUUAUAGUCCUAUAUGUGCAUGCUGCAAUCUCUCUCUAGAGUUAUAGACACUUUCAAAUAUAACUCUAUAGAGAGAUCUGCAUGUAUAUAAGGUGUAAUUAUCUUGUGAUGUGUGUACGUUAGGACUUAGGCCCGUCUGUCUCAGAACAGACAUAUUUAUAUGUAGGAGCUGGGAAAGACUUGUUCACAGAUAUCUGCAGAGGGCCAACUGGAAACGCUGUAUCUGCCCUCUAGGAAACCGGCUAGCAGAGUUGUGUACUUAUGGAGGGAUGGAGUUACAAAAGGGUAAAUAGAGCUCAGGGAGCCUCAAGGAGGGAGGUGAAUGGAGGGUGGGUGGGCUCCGUUUGAACAGAUAGUGGGAGGAAAGGGGUAAACACCAGUACCCACCAGAAGGUGAGAACCGGUUUUGUGAGGGGCUGGCGCAGAAGGUGGACAAGGAGCUUGUAAAACGGGAAGCAGCCAACAGUCCUGCCACCUCACCCUGAGACACUCCACCGAGGAAGCAGCCUUCAGUUUGGCUUUUAGUGCACUGAAAGCUAGGGACUGUCGUGUCCCUCCUGCAGUCCUAGCGCGUUUCUGUUGAACCCUAAUUUUUAGGUCUCAAAGAGUGGGCUUCAGAGAUAAAGAGGUUUAGGCAGGGACAGGGCGGGGACCGUGGGGUGUACUUUCACUUUCUGAUAAGUGAGGUAAUCCAGGAAAGUGAGUUAAUUUGGCCAAAUAAAGCUUGUUUAUAUCUGGGCCUCCUGUGCCCUGGUGGGGAUGUAGGAUGGAACCAGAACCUGGUGGACUGAGGAGUGAAUUUGCAAGAAUUGGACCUGCUCUGAUGGGGGCUUGGGGAGGUUGUCCUCACCACCCGCCCUCCUUCUCUGAGGCCUGAGUGGCCUAAUUCCCUCUGGGCACAGAGGGACUCCUUCAGCUUCCUAACAGUGCUGCCCUGGGUCUUUUCAGGGAGAAUUUGACUUAAGGAGCAGGGAACAUGGACUUACCCCACUAGAUUUCACUUCUCCCACUCACAGCUACACCACUCUUACGUCAGUCUCCUUCCAGGCGCCACUGGGCCAGGGCUCCACAAUUCUUCCCCUGCUACUAACCAACCCAGUGGGGAAAUACCUCCCACCACUGCCAGUUUUUUUUUUUUUUUUUUUUAAACCAGGGAGUUACAGAUAACUUCAUUGAAUGUGUGAAGGAGUUGUCCUGAACGCAGUCUCAGUGGCCAACCUGGCCUCCAGGAUCUCUAGGAUGCUAGGAAGGGAGUGUAGACCCUUGGACCAGGGUAACCACCAUGUGCCACCCUCCACACACCCCUGCCCACAGGACUAGGAAUUCCUGCAGUGCAGGGACUCUGUCUGCUGCCUGGCACAGAAUGGUUGCCCAAACAUACUUGUUGAGGUAAACGGAAUGGCAAUCAAUACAAAAACUCACCCUCACUCUGUAUACCACCAUAGCCCCUGCUGGCUAGCAGGCACCCUAGCCAGGCUGGGAGAUAACAUGGUGGCUUGCAGCAGCUUGGGCUUUGACCGGGUCAGUGGUUAGUAGGGUGGUAGAGCAUCCUGAGCCUAGGAUGGGGCAGGGACUGGAGCAAGGCACCUGAAAUCCGGAAAUUUGGGGGUAAGCCAAGGCAGACCCACCUCCCCAGUGCACUUCUGCUUUCUAUCUCCAGUCUCCUGGCUCCCUGGACCUCCAAAUUAUGAAAACUAAACCAGAGCUGAGACCUGGGCUAGGAAGGAAUUGCCUGUCAACCCGAGGGGUGCAAAGAGGAACCACAACUGGCUCCACUGAGAAAUCCACAAAUAAAACAAAAAUAAAUCAGUGCGAGACUGACAA